rnacentral:pre_miRNA from 1 species
CUGUUCUGUGAGAAUCAGAAGACAGAACUCUGGGACAUCUUCACCAUGGCCUGGACCCACCUCCUUCUCCCCCUCUUCAUUCUCUGCACAGUUGA